rnacentral:rRNA from 1 species
ACCGCGGUUAUACGAGAGGCUCAAGUUGACAGACAACGGCGUAAAGAGUGGUUAGGGAAACUUUUAAAACUAAAGCCGAACGUCCUCAAAGCUGUUUAACGCUUUCGAGUUAAGAAGGUCUUUAACGAAAGUAGCUUUACCAAACCUGACCCCACGAAAGCUGUGAAACAAACUGGGAUUAGAUACCCCACUAUGCUCAGCCCUAAAAUUCGAUAGGUCACUACGCCCCCUAUCCGCCAGGGUACUACGAGCAUCAGCUUGAAACCCAAAGGACUUGGCGGUGCUUCACAUCCGUCUAGAGGAGCCUGUUCUAUAACCGAUAACCCCCGUUAAACCUCACCCUCCCUUGUUAAUCCCGCCUAUAUACCGCCGUCGUCAGCCUACCCUGUGAAGGACUAGAAGUGAGCAAGAUUGGUAAAACCCAAAACGUCAGGUCGAGGUGUAGCGUAUGAGAGGGGAAGAGAUGGGCUACAUUUCCUAAACCAGGAAAUACGAACAAUGAACUGAAAUAAGCAUUAGAAGGUGGAUUUAGCAGUAAGCAGACAAACAGAGUGUUCUGCUGAAGUUUAGGCAAUAAAGCACGUACACACCGCCCGU